GACGAACGCUGGCGGCGUGCCUAAUACAUGCCAGUUGAGCGCUGAAGGUUGGUACUUGUACCGACUGGAUGAGCAGCGAACGGGUGAGUAACGCGUGGGGAAUCUGCCUUUGAGCGGGGGACAACAUUUGGAAACGAAUGCUAAUACCGCAUAAAAACUUUAAACACAAGUUUUAAGUUUGAAAGAUGCAAUUGCAUCACUCAAAGAUGACCCCGCGUUGUAUUAGCUAGUUGGUGAGGUAAAGGCUCACCAAGGCGAUGAUACAUAGCCGACCUGAGAGGGUGAUCGGCCACAUUGGGACUGAGACACGGCCCAAACUCCUACGGGAGGCAGCAGUAGGGAAUCUUCGGCAAUGGACGAAAGUCUGACCGAGCAACGCCGCGUGAGUGAAGAAGGGUUUCGGACCGUAAAACUCUGUUGGUAGAGAAGAACGUUGGUGAGAGUGGAAAGCUCAUCAAGUGACGGUAACUACCCAGAAAGGGACGGCUAACUACGUG
rnacentral:rRNA from 1 species